AUUGAACGCUGGCGGCAUGCCUUACACAUGCAAGUCGAACGGCAGCACGGGAGCAAUCCUGGUGGCGAGUGGCGAACGGGUGAGUAAUAUAUCGGAACGUGCCCAGUCGUGGGGGAUAACGUAGCGAAAGCUACGCUAAUACCGCAUACGAUCUAUGGAUGAAAGCGGGGGAUCGCAAGACCUCGCGCGAUUGGAGCGGCCGAUAUCAGAUUAGGUAGUUGGUGAGGUAAAGGCUCACCAAGCCGACGAUCUGUAGCUGGUCUGAGAGGACGACCAGCCACACUGGGACUGAGACACGGCCCAGACUCCUACGGGAGGCAGCAGUGGGGAAUUUUUGGGACAAUGGGCGCAAGCCUGAUCCAGCAAUGCCGCGUGCAGGAUGAAAGGGCCUUCGGGUCGGUU
rnacentral:rRNA from 1 species